GAUGAAGAACGUAGCGAAAUGCGAUAAGUAAUGCGAAUUGCAGAAUUCCAGUGAGUCAUCGAAUCUUUGAACGCACAUUGCGCCCUUUGGUAUUCCGAAGGGCAUGCCUGUUCGAGCGUCAUUAUCACCCCUCAAGCCCUCGGCUUGGUGUUGGACGGUUUGGUGGAGGCCCCCUCGGGGGCUCCUGCCCCUCCCAAAGACAAUGACGGCGGCCUCGUUGGACCCCCGGUACACUGAGUUCUUCACGGGACACGUAUCGGACACAUGGGUUUACGGGACACGGUCUGCCUCCCCUCAGGGAGAAUCUUUCUAAGGUUGACCUCGGAUCAGGUAGGGAUACCCGCUGAACUUAGGCAUAUCAAUAAGCGGAGGA
rnacentral:misc_RNA from 1 species